GACGAACGCUGGCGGCGUGCUUAACACAUGCAAGUCGAACGGAAAGGCCCUGCUUUUGUGGGGUGCUCGAGUGGCGAACGGGUGAGUAACACGUGAGUAACCUGCCCUUGACUUUGGGAUAACUUCAGGAAACUGGGGCUAAUACCGGAUAGGAGCUCCUGCUGCAUGGUGGGGGUUGGAAAGUUUCGGCGGUUGGGGAUGGACUCGCGGCUUAUCAGCUUGUUGGUGGGGUAGUGGCUUACCAAGGCUUUGACGGGUAGCCGGCCUGAGAGGGUGACCGGCCACAUUGGGACUGAGAUAGGGCCCAGACUCCUACGGGAGGCAGCAGUGGGGAAUCUUGCACAAUGGGCGGAAGCCUGAUGCAGCAACGCCGCGUGCGGGAUGACGGCCUUCGGGUUGUAAAACGCUUUCGCCUGUGACGAAGCGUGAGUGACGGUAAUGGGUAAAGAAGCACCGGCUAACUACGUG
rnacentral:rRNA from 1 species